GCACCCACUACGAGUGGGUGCUGCGCCGUAGGGAAGCCGCUAAACGAGCCGCCUGGGAAGUACGUCCGCAAGGAUGAAACUUAAAGGAAUUGGCGGGGGAGCACUACAACCGGAGGAGCCUGCGGUUUAAUUGGACUCAACGCCGGACAUCUCACCAGCCCCGACAUCAGUAAUGACAGUCAUGUUGACGACAUCCGCUCGAGCUGAUGAGAGGAGGUGCAUGGCCGCCGUCAGCUCGUACCGUGAGGCAUCCUGUUAAGUCAGGCAACGAGCGAGAUCCACGUCCCUAAUUGCCAGCACCACCGCCAGGUGGGUGGGUACAUUAGGGAGACUGCCAGUGCUAAACUGGAGGAAGGAAUGGGCAACGGUAGGUCAGUAUGCCCCGAAUGGGCUGGGCAACACGCGGGCUACAAUGGUCAGGACAACGGGUUCCAACACUGAAAAGUGACGGUAAUCUCGCAAACCUGGUCGUAGUUCGGAUUGUGGGCUGAAACUCGCCCACAUGAAGCUGGAUUCGGUAGUAAUCGCGUGUCAGAAGCGCACGGUGAAUACGUCCCUGCUCCUUGCACACACCGCCCGUCAAAGCACCCGAGUGAGGUCCGGAUGAGGCCACAUCACUGUGGUCAAAUCUGGGCUUCGCAAGGGGGCUUAAGUCGUAACAAGGUUUCCGUAGGUG
rnacentral:rRNA from 1 species